AACGAACGCUGGCGGCGUGCCUAACACAUGCAAGUCGAGCGAGAAAGCCCGCAAGGGUGAGUACAGCGGCGCACGGGUGCGUAACACGUGGGUAAUCUGCCCUGAAGUCCGGAAUAACUCGCCGAAAGGCGUGCUAAUGCCGGAUGAGACCACGGGAGCUUCGGCUCCUGCGGGAAAAGGUGGCCUCUGUAUACAAGCUAUCACUUCAGGAUGAGCCCGCGGCCCAUCAGCUCGUUGGCGGGGUAAUGGCCCACCAAGGCUACGACGGGUAGCUGGUCUGAGAGGACGAUCAGCCACACUGGAAUUGAGACACGGUCCAGACUCCUACGGGAGGCAGCAGUGGGGAAUCUUGCGCAAUGGGCGAAAGCCUGACGCAGCAACGCCGCGUGUGUGAUGAAGGUCUUCGGAUCGUAAAGCACUGUCGCGAGGGACGAAUAAGGGGCGGGCUAACAUCCCGUUCCGAUGACGGUACCUCGAGAGGAAGCACCGGCUAACUCUGUGCCAGCAGUCGCGGUAAUACAGAGGGUGCAAGCGUUGUUCGGAAUUAUUGGGCGUAAAGCGCGUGUAGGCGGCUUUGUAAGUUGGGUGUGAAAGCCCUCGGCUUAACCGAGGAAGUGCGCCCAAAACUGCAUGGCUUGAGUACCGGAGAGGGUGGCGGAAUUCCCGGUGUAGAGGUGAAAUUCGUAGAUAUCGGGAGGAACACCAGCGGCGAAGGCGGCCACCUGGACGGAUACUGACGCUGAGACGCGAAAGCGUGGGGAGCGAACAGGAUUAGAUACCCUGGUAGUCCACGCUGUAAACGAUGAGCGCUAGGUGUUGUGGGUGUUGACCCCUGCAGUGCCGCAGCUAACGCAUUAAGCGCUCCGCCUGGGAAGUACGGCCGCAAGGCUA
rnacentral:rRNA from 1 species